rnacentral:rRNA from 1 species
AGAGGUAGUACCGAAGGGGAAUUAAUGAAAGAAUUGAAAAGUAAAGUUUAGAUCUUGUACCUUUUGCAUUAUGGGCUAUUAAUAGAAAAAUAGGGAAGUCCUAUAAUCCUGAAAACUUUCGAGCUACUAACUUUAAUUCUCGGUGUGGCAUAAUCGUAAAUAAGAGGUUAGUAGGUGUGACAUGCUUUUCGCGAUUGUUGAUAUCUGGUUGGGGGCGAAAUGUAUAUAGUACAGCAUAAUUAAAAUAAAAGCUUUAGGAUGAAUAAUUUAUGUGAGGGGGGUGGGGAUAAGCUCGCUCCCUAUAAUGAAAAGGUUGAAAUUAUUUUUAGGGGAAGUGGGCUUAGAGACAGCCAUCUAUUAGAGUAAGUUAUUUUUCACUUAUUUUUUUAUAAAUAUUAGAUUUUUGUUUCUUUUAGUAGCCCCCUAAUGGGUUUAAUUUUAAACUUUUGUGGUUAGAAUAGCAUGAGUAGUGGUUGCUUAGAAAAAUUUAUGAAUACAGGAAUGUGAAAUAAUAAAUUAAGAAUCUAUUUUAGGUUAAUAUAAGGAACUCGGCAAUAAUGGACUCCGCCUGUUUAAUAAAAACAUGGCCCCUUGAAUUUUAAAAUAUAGGGGGUCGGGCCUGCCCGGUGAAGUAUUUCUUUAAACGGCCGCUGUAAUGGGUGCGAAGGUAGCAUAAUCUCUUGCCCUUUAAUUGGGGGAUUGUUGAAUGGUUUGACGAGGGUCCUUCUGUCUCAUAUUAAAAUAAUGAAAUUAACUUUUAAGUGAAAAGGCUUAAAUGUAAGGGUUAGACGAGAAGACCCCGUGGAGUUUUGCUAUGUUUUUAAUUUUUGAAGUUAAAUAACAUAGAUUUGGUUGGGGCAACAGAGGAGUAAAAAAAACCUCCAUCUUUACUAAUAACUUAUAGGAUCCGCUAGUGGGCGAUUAAAAGGAAAGUUACCCCGGGGAUAACAGCGUAAUCUUUUUUGAGAGUUCUUAUCGAAAAAAGGGUUUGCGACCUCGAUGUUGGAUUAGGACAUCCUCAGGGUGCAGCAGCUCUGAAAGGUGGGUCUGUUCGACCUUUAAAGUCCUACAUGAUCUGAGUUUAGACCGGCGAAAGCCAGGUCGGUUUCUAUCUUCCCUUUAUAAAUUUAAUUUGCUUGUACGAAAGGACUGUGAAUUACUGAUAUUUUAUCAGAUAA